UCUGGACGGAGCAACGCCGCGUGAGGUGAUGAAGGUUUUCGGAUCGUAAAGCUCUGUUGUUAGGGAAGAACAAGUACCGUUCGAAUAGGGCGGUACCUUGACGGUACCUAACCAGAAAGCCACGGCUAACUACGUGCCAGCAGCCGCGGUAAUACGUAGGUGGCAAGCGUUGUCCGGAAUUAUUGGGCGUAAAGGGCUCGCAGGCGGUUUCUUAAGUCUGAUGUGAAAGCCCCCGGCUCAACCGGGGAGGGUCAUUGGAAACUGGGGAACUUGAGUGCAGAAGAGGAGAGUGGAAUUCCACGUGUAGCGGUGAAAUGCGUAGAGAUGUGGAGGAACACCAGUGGCGAAGGCGACUCUCUGGUCUGUAACUGACGCUGAGGAGCGAAAGCGUGGGGAGCGAACAGGAUUAGAUACCCUGGUAGUCCACGCCGUAAACGAUGAGUGCUAAGUGUUAGGGGGUUUCCGCCCCUUAGUGCUGCAGCUAACGCAUUAAGCACUCCGCCUGGGGAGUACGGUCGCAAGACUGAAACUCAAAGGAAUUGACGGGGGCCCGCACAAGCGGUGGAGCAUGUGGUUUAAUUCGAAGCAACGCGAAGAACCUUACCAGGUCUUGACAUCCUCUGACAAUCCUAGAGAUAGGACGUCCCCUUCGGGGGCAGAGUGACAGGUGGUGCAUGGUUGUCGUCAGCUCGUGUCGUGAGAUGUUGGGUUAAGUCCCGCAACGAGCGCAACCCUUGAUCUUAGUUGCCAGCAUUCAGUUGGGCACUCUAAGGUGACUGCCGGUGACAAACCGGAGGAAGGUGGGGAUGACGUCAAAUCAUCAUGCCCCUUAUGACCUGGGCUACACACGUGCUACAAUGGACAGAACAAAGGGCAGCGAAACCGCGAGGUUAAGCCAAUCCCACAAAUCUGUUCUCAGUUCGGAUGCGCAGUCUGCAACUCGACUGCGUGAAGCUGGAAUCGCUAGUAAUCGC
rnacentral:rRNA from 1 species